rnacentral:lncRNA from 1 species
UAGAGUGGGGUGCUCAUUUUCGCCAUAUCUUUCUAUGUUUUCUACAGUUGAUGUUCAGGUCUAUAUGUUUUUGAAGUAUACUGAUAUUUCUAUGUGAAGACAACUUCAAAUGCAAAAUAUUCUUAAGCUUGAAAACGUGUUUGUUUGAAAAUAAUCAUCUGAAAGGUUUGAUUAAAGGGUGUUUGAAAUUGCCUGAUGUUUUGUCAAUGGGGGAUUUAUAUUCGCCGUAUUUAUACAUCUAUUUAAACCUUAAUAACUGCAGCUUUAAACAAUAUUUUUCAAAUCAAUUUCAUUAUAGAUGAAUAGCAGACAUUUUCGAAGGUGUACAGAACUGAAAUUUAGGGCAAUCAGUCAAAGAAUUACCAAGAAAUACUUCUUUGAAAUCGGGUUUUUCGGUCCUUUGCGGUUAGUGCCGCAAUUUUGUCGUAUUUUAAUAAAUAAUCAUAUUUGUUAUAAAAAUCUAAUUUACCGGCAUAUUUCUUCCAUUUCAGCUAUCCUUUGAAGUUUUUACACCUCAAAAUCAUAAAAUGGCGAAAAUGUGUCCCCGGCGAAUAUG